rnacentral:misc_RNA from 1 species
ACAAGGUUUCCGUAGGUGAACCUGCGGAAGGAUCAUUAACACGUAUCCAAACGUUAAAAACCCUGUGAACUUUCAUGCAGCUCCCGUAACCCGCAAGGAACAGCAAUCCCGGUAAAUCAUUGUUGAACAGUUUUGAUUCGGGACCUCUGUACAGUUACGGUCGUAGCUUAGAGUCAGUGGCAUGGCUUCCCCAAGCAGUAGUGAAAUGACAUUGUCACUAUCUGUGUAAGGAUAACGCCUCACGGUUGCUAGAGGUCGAUCACCGGCCGGCAAACAUGUCACAGGGCUAUAUGCCCCCUAACCACCCCUUGCACGAAUGUCUCGCCUAGUGGUCACGCGCUUGGCACCAAAACGAACAACUGUUAACAAUGGAUAUCUUGGUUCUC